rnacentral:rRNA from 1 species
UACGUAGGGCGCAAGCGUUGUCCGGAAUUAUUGGGCGUAAAGGGCGCGUAGGCGGCUUGACAAGUCAAGGUGAAAUCCCUCGGCUCAACUGAGGAACUGCCUUUGAAACUGUCAGGCUUGAGGCCGGGAGGGGUAGCGGAAUUCCCAGUGUAGCGGUGAAAUGCGUAGAUAUUGGGAGGAACACCAGUGGCGAAGGCGGCUACCGUGGACCGGUACUGAGCGCUGAGGAGCGAAAGCCAGGGGAGCCAAAGCGGG